GAGGGUAUAGCUCAAUGGUAGAGCACAGGCUUAUUUAGCAUGCGCAAGGUCCUGGGUUCAAUCCUCAGUUAUCUCC
rnacentral:tRNA from 1 species